AUCGAAGGGGUUUGCUUGCAUUGUUUUGGCCAUUAAAUAAUAAAAUGAAAGCUUGAAUGCAGUAUCAAUGCGAUUUUGAAGCACCUUGCAUUUAUUAAAAUACUUAUCACUCGUCCCUGCCAGUGCAUGAUGCAGGUAAUGACACUUACGCCCCCGCUAACUAUAACUAAUAUUACCCCAAACGCCCACCCUGGCUCUUAAUAAUGGCACAAGCAAACUAGCGCGCCACCACAUGACCAUAUGUAGGUCAUCAGGUAACGCCCUUUUGGCCAGUUUGAAAAAUCAGCAUAAAAAUGCGACACUUUCGCAAAGCGUUUUCAGUUUGUAAGCAGAAUUAAAUUGAGUGCAUUCAACAACAACUAAAACGCAAACCAAAAGCCAACGAAGUACAUACUGCAGAUCUGUUACAAGUUCGCAUAAAGCAGCUGCAAGUGCAUUAAUAAAUACACAAAUCAUCCAAAAAUGAGACGCGAAUCGAGUACAUUUCGUAACAUGCUGACAACCCUGCUGCUGCUCCUGCUGGCCUCUCUUUGUUCUGUUGGCCAUGCGGCGUCGGUUUCCAAAUCGCAGAAAACCUAUUCGGCACUUCCCAGCCACCAACACAAGGAGUUUCGCAUGGACUUUGUAAUGGAUAUUACCAAGCUGAUUUUGAAUAUUAUUGGAAAAAUACGGUGAAGCAGUGGCUGGAUCAGUUUGUUUUUUUUAAUUUUUUUUGUGGCACUUGUAAGUAGUCAUCCAAAUUCACCAAAAAAAGGCAUUAUAAAUCCCCCCAGUGACCAAAAUGCAACAGAGCCACCACUCAGCCCAGACCCAACCCAUUGCUUAUUGCCAAAAAGCAAAGCAAAGCCUGGCCUCGUAACGAAUUUGCGAUUUAAAAUUCUUGCAACAAAUUGCGUUGCAUUUUAGCUGAUGAAAAUAAUUUGAUGAAUACAUGUUGGGUAUAUAUGAAUGUGCAUGUAUUUAUCGCGCAUAUUUAUGUAGAGUUGUUGUAGCCUAAAUGUUGGAUUAAAUAUCAUUUCGUUAAGCAAAUGGUUUUUACGUGUUCUGUUGUGUUGUUUAGAGCUAAUAAAAUUGCAUAAAAGUGAAUGCAGAUUACAGAUUUAAAAUUGAACUUGAGCCUGGCUUUAAGUGUGCAAUCUCCUGUGGGGGUUCAAACUGUGCUCCUUGGAUGGAUCUCUCAUGCUAUUUCUGGCGUGCGUUUUAAAAAAAUAUAUAUAUGUCGGAUAUAAUUAUGGUAGUUGCUUGAGGGCUAUACUUUACGGGCGUUAAAAAGUCUACACAUUUAAAAAGUGAGUGAGUAAAUU